rnacentral:tRNA from 1 species
AAGAAGACCCACAUUGGAACUGCUAAUUCCGACCCCUGGAACUAAUACACCCAGACUUCUU